UACGGAGGGUGCAAGCGUUAUCCGGAAUCACUGGGUUUAAAGGGUGCGUAGGCGGAAGAAUAAGUCAGAGGUGAAAGGCCAUCGCUUAACGAUGGAAUUGCCUUUGAUACUGUUUUUCUUGAAUAUGGUUGAGGUAAGCGGAAUGUGGCAUGUAGCGGUGAAAUGCAUAGAUAUGCCAUAGAACACCGAUUGCGAAGGCAGCUUACUGGGCCACAAUUGACGCUGAGGCACGAAAGCGUGGGGAGCGAACAGG
rnacentral:rRNA from 1 species